AUGGCCGUGAAGAUGGCAUCGGACGGCCUGUGGCAGGGCGAGAACCCUCUGGACUUCGCGCUGCCGCUGCUCGCGGUGCAGAUAGCCGUGGUGCUCGUCGUCACGCAGGGCCUCGCCUUCACCCUCAAGCCCCUGCGCCAGCCUAGGGUCGUCGCAGAGAUCCUGGGCGGCAUCUUGCUCGGACCUUCGGCCCUGGGCCGGUGGGGCGCCUUCCGCCGCACACUCUUUCCGGAGUGGAGCACCGCCGCGCUCGACACCGUAUCGGGCCUCGGCCUGCUCCUCUUCCUCUUCCUGGUCGGCCUCGAGCUCGACUUCUGUGCCGUUCGCCGCAUGGGGCCCCGCAGCGUUGCCAUCGCAGCGGCCGGCAUCGUGCCCCCACUGCUCGGCGCCGCCGGUGUCGUGCCACUCCUCGACCUCGCCAUCCCGGCGCCCCGCCAAGCCUCAUACUUCUCGCUGUGCGUUUUCCUCGGCGCGGCGCUCUCGGUGACCGCUCUCCCCGUGCUCGCCUGCAUCCUCAAGGAGCUCGGCCUCCUCGGAGUGCCCUUCGGCGAGACCGCCAUGGCCGCCGCCGCCGUGAACGACGUCUUCGCGUGGACGCUCCUCGCCCUCGCUCUCGCCGUGUCCGGCGGUGGUCGCGAGCCGAAGGGGCCCGCUCUCGCGCCGGUCUACAUCCUCUCGUCGGGCGCGCUCUUCGUGGCGUUCACGUUCUUCGCGCUCCGCCCUCUCAUGGCGCGCCUGGCGCGCCGCGCAGGCCCCUCCAGCUCGGACGGCGACCUGACCUGCUCAUGCGCCGUCGCGUGCGCGCUCCUAGCGGGCGCCGUGACCGACGCCAUCGGCGUGCACCCCGUGUUCGGCGCGUUCGUGUUCGGGCUAGCUAUGCCCCGGGAGGACGGCGUCGCGGAGCGCAUCGGCGAGAAGGUGGCGCCGCUGGUGUCCGGGCCGAUGCUGCCGCUCUACUUCGCCACGAGCGGACUGCACACGAAUGUCGACAACGUCCGGGGCGUGGCGGCGUGGGGGAUGGUGGCGCUCGUGGUGGCCGUGGCCGUGGUCGGGAAGUUCGCCGGGACGUUCACGGUGGCGGUCGCCGGGACCGGCAUGGCCAGGCGCGAGGCGGCCGCCCUCGGCGUGGCCAUGAGCGCCAAGGGGCUCGUGGAGCUCAUCGUGCUCAACAUCGGCAAGGAGAAGAAGGUGCUGGACGACACGACGUUCGCUAUCUUCGUGAUCAUGGCGCUGACGACCACGGUGAUCGCGACGCCGCUCAUGACGGCGCUCUACCGGCAGCCGCCGACGGCCACCGCGCCGGAGAGCGAUGGGGUGGAGCUCAAAGGAGGCGACGCUUGCCCGGCAUAA
rnacentral:rRNA from 1 species